GUGCCAGCCGCCGCGGUAAUACGUAGGGGGCAAGCGUUGUCCGGAAUCACUGGGCGUAAAGGGUGAGUAGGCGGUUAUUUAAGUUGGGUGUGAAAUCCCCGGGCUUAACCUGGGAAUCGCACUCAAAACUGGGUAACUAGAGUGUCGGAGAGGAAAGCGGAAUUCCUGGUGUAGCGGUGAAAUGCGUAGAUAUCAGGAGGAACACCGGUGGCGAAGGCGGCUUUCUGGACGAUAACUGACGCUGAGGCACGAAAGCGUGGGGAGCAAACAGGAUUAGAUACCCUGGUAGUCCACGCUGUAAACGAUGAAUACUAGGUGUAGGGGGUGUAUACUCUCUGUGCCGCAGCUAACGCAAUAAGUAUUCCGCCUGGGGAGUACGGUCGCAAGACUAAAACUCAAAUGAAUUGACGG
rnacentral:rRNA from 1 species